GACGAACGCUGGCGGCGUGCUUAACACAUGCAAGUCGAACGGAAAGGCCCUGCUUUUGUGGGGUUCUCGAGUGGCGAACGGGUGAGUAACACGUGAGUAACCUGCCCUUGACUUUGGGAUAACUUCAGGAAACUGGGGCUACUACCGGAUAGGAGCUCCUGCUGCAUGGUGGGGGUUGGAAAGUUUCGGCGGUUGGGGAUGGACUCGCGGCUUAUCAGCUUGUUGGUGGGGUAGUGGCUUACCAAGGCUUUGACGGGUAGCCGGCCUGAGAGGGUGACCGGCCUCAUGGGGACUGAGAUACGGCGCAGACUCCUACGGGAGGCAGCAGUGGGGAAUAUUGCACAAUGGGCGGAAGCCUGAUGCAGCAACGCCGCGGGCGGGAUGACGGCCUUCGGGGUGUAAACCGCUUUCGCCUGUGACGAAGCGUGAGUGACGGUAAUGGGUAAAGAAGCACCGGCUAACUACGUG
rnacentral:rRNA from 1 species